rnacentral:rRNA from 1 species
AAAUGAAUUGACGGGGACCCGCACAAGCGGUGGAGCGCCUGCUUUAAUUCGAUGAUAACCGAAGAACCUUACCGAGGUUUGACAUGCUACUGCAUCCCUGUAGAAACAUAGGGAGCCUUCGAGGGUGUAGCACAGGUAUUGCAUGGCUGUUGUCAGCUCGUGUCGUGAGAUGUACCGUUAAGUCGGGUAACGAGCGCAACCCUUUUCGUUAGUUGUAUCACUCUAACGAUACUGCUCGGGCAACCGAGAGGAAGGAGAGGAUGACAACAAGUCAGCAUGGUCCUUAUGCCUCGGGCUAGACAGGCGCUACAAUGGGCGGUACAGUGGGACGCAACAUGGUAACAUGAAGCAAAUCUCAUAAAGCCGUCCCCAGUUCAGAUUGAGGGCUGAAAUUCGCCCUCAUGAAGUCGGAAUCGCUAGUAAUCGCUGGUCAGCUAUACAGCGGUGAAUACGUUCUCGGGUCUUGCACACACCGCCCGU